rnacentral:rRNA from 1 species
AUCCAGAGGGUGCGAGCGUUAAUCGGAAUUACUGGGCGUAAAGCGCGCGUAGGCGGCUUAUUAAGUCAGAUGUGAAAUCCCCGGGCUCAACCUGGGAACUGCAUCUGAUACUGGUAAGCUAGAGUUUUGGAGAGGGAAGUAGAAUUUCAGGUGUAGCGGUGAAAUGCAUAGAGAUCUGAAGGAAUACCAGUGGCGAAGGCGACUUCCUGGCCAAAAACUGACGCUGAGGUGCGAAAGCGUGGGUAGCAAACGGGAUUAGAAACCCCAGUAGUCC